GCGCCGGUAGUUUAAGGGUAGAAUUCGAGCUUCCCAUCGGAUGUCUCUGCUCGAGGACCGAGUUCGAGUCUCGGCCGGCGCA